UACAGAGGUCUCAAGCGUUGUUCGGAUUCAUUGGGCGUAAAGGGUGCGUAGGCGGCGCGGUAAGUCGGGUGUGAAAUCUUGGAGCUUAACUCCGAAACUGCAUUCGAUACUGCCGUGCUUGAAUCCGGGAGAGGGAUGCGGAAUUCCAGGUGUAGCGGUGAAAUGCGUAGAUAUCUGGAGGAACACCGGUGGCGAAGGCGGCAUCCUGGACCGGCAUUGACGCUGAGGCGCGAAAGCUAGGGGAGCAAACGGG
rnacentral:rRNA from 1 species